rnacentral:lncRNA from 1 species
CGUUUGUGGGGAGGGCUAGAGGGGAUGGUAGCAACUCCAGCAGCAGCUGCCUCCAUUUCAUGGCUCCAGCUCUGGCCAGCCAGGUGUCUCCAUCAUUCUAGCUUCUGCUGGGCGACCUGGUCUCUGAGCUCAGGAAACACCCUUUCCUCUUUUUGUUCCUCCAGAUAGCGUGCCUGCAGUAGAUUUUUGAAUAAGGAAGUAUCAUUUCCCAGUAGUGAUGAGCAUCCAUUUUCUUGCUUCGCUUUGUGUUCCAAUUCAUGGUUCGCAGUUACAGAUGAAUCAGGGUGGUAUUUUGAACUUUGGCACAUGGUAACUGAG